rnacentral:rRNA from 1 species
GACGAACGCUGGCGGCGUGCUUAACACAUGCAAGUCGAACGGAAAGGCCCUGCUUUUGUGGGGUGCUCGAGUGGCGAACGGGUGAGUAACACGUGAGUAACCUGCCCUUGACUUUGGGAUAACUUCAGGAAACUGGGGCUAAUACCGGAUAGGAGCUCCUGCUGCAUGGUGGGGGUUGGAAAGUUUCGGCGGUUGGGGAUGGACUCGCGGCUUAUCAGCUUGUUGGUGGGGUAGUGGCUUACCAAGGCUUUGACGGGUAGCCGGCCUGAGAGGGUGACCGGCCACAUUGGGACUGAGAUACGGCCCAGACUCCUACGGGAGGCAGCAGUGGGGAAUAUUGCACAAUGGGCGGAAGCCUGAUGCAGCAACGCCGCGUGCGGGAUGACGGCCUUCGGGUUGUAAACCGCUUUCGCCUGUGGCGAAGCGUGAGUGACGGCAAUGGGUAAAGAAGCACCGGCUAACUACGUG